rnacentral:lncRNA from 1 species
UCGCAGAGGACUGGCUCGUGGAGUCUUUGCGCUUGUACCAAGACUUCCAUGCAUUUGACCUCUCAGGAGCCACUCGAGUUCUUGAAUGGGUUGGUGAAAAAGGUAAUAUACCUCGCCUGCCACUAAAAGAGGUGGGUUUCUGCCUCGGGCCGAACCUUUAGAGAGACCCAUUCAACUUCCGUGCCCUGACACAAGGCUGCUCAGAGAAUGGGGAAGGAGUCUUUGUUGCUGGUUAUGAAAGUUUGAAAAAAAAUGAGAUUCUUCAUUUGAUUCUACCUCUAAGACUCUCUGUAAAGGAAAACCAGGGCUUAUACCCAGAGAGGGACUUCAAAGUACGCCACGGAGGAUUCUCAGACAGAGCUGUCUUUGACCUAAAGCACGUGCCAGAUACCAGGUAUGACCAGU